AGCUUCGUCAACUCGUCGUCGUUCCUCACCGCCAGCUGGAUGUGGCGGGGCACGAUCCGAGUCUUCUUGUUGUCCCGCGCAGCGUUGCCUGCCAACUCCAACACCUGCCCAGAUCAAAUCAGUCGGUCAUAAAAAAGAGAUUUUUGGGUAAGAAAUCAUGGAGAAGAGAGGGUUUUAAGUGCUCGACUACGUAUUAACCGCUCAACUUUGACCUAAAUUUUCAUGCCAUAAUGAUCGAUGAACUUAAUUUACUUCAGACGAAAUCAACUCCCAGCAGAGGAACUUUUCCCCUUUCGAACCCUAAACAAAGCGACCCAAGAUUGAAUGACGAGAGGAAGAAGAAGGAACGAACCUCAGCAGCAAGGUACUCGAGUACGGCGGCAAGGUAGACCGGGGCGCCGGCACCGACCCGCUCGGCGUACUUGCCGGCCUUCAAGAACCGCGCGAUCCGGCCAACCGGGAACUGGAGACCGGCCUUGCUACUCCUCGACGCCCCCUUCUUCCCGGCCGCCGACGCCAGCGUCUUCCCUCUCCCCGCCAUUGCUCUCCGCAGCUUCCCGAGAAGAAAGAACGAUCCCGACGACGAGUAAAGAAGCGAUCGCGCGAGCUACAGCCGAGCGAGUACGGUGAGAAGUUCCUUCGAUGAGCUCGUCCAUAUAAUGCACCAGACGCGGG
rnacentral:lncRNA from 1 species